rnacentral:rRNA from 1 species
GACGAACGCUGGCGGCGUGCUUAACACAUGCCAGUCGAACGGAAAGGCCUCUUUCGGGGGGUACUCGAGUGGCGAACGGGUGAGUAACACGUGAGUAACCUGCCCUUGACUUUGGGAUAACUUCAGGAAACUGGGGCUAAUACCGGAUAGGAGCUCCUGCUGCAUGGUGGGGGUUGGAAAGUUUCGGCGGUUGGGGAUGGACUCGCGGCUUAUCAGCUUGUUGGUGGGGUAGUGGCUUACCAAGGCUUUGACGGGUAGCCGGCCUGAGAGGGUGACCGGCCACAUUGGGAAUGAGAUACGGCCCAGACUCCUACGGGAGGCAGCAGUGGGGAAUAUUGCACAAUGGGUGGAAGCCUGAUGCAGCAACGCCGUGUGCGGGAUGACGGCCUUCGGGUUGUAAACCGCUUUCGCUCAUGACGAAGCUUUGUGUGACGGUAGUGGGUAAAGAAGCACCGGCUAACUACGUG